GACGUAGGAGGCGAGCGUUGUUCGGAUUCAUUGGGCGUAAAGGGCGCGUAGGCGGUUGGCUAAGUCUUGUGUGAAAUCUUCGGGCUCAACUCGAAGUCUGCACGAGAAACUAUCUGGCUUGAGUGUGGGAGAGGUGAGUGGAAUUCCUGGUGUAGCGGUGAAAUGCGUAGAUAUCAGGAGGAACACCUGUGGCGAAAGCGGCUCACUGGACCACAACUGACGCUGAGGCGCGAAAGCUAGGGGAGCAAACAGG
rnacentral:rRNA from 1 species